rnacentral:rRNA from 1 species
GACGAACGCUGGCGGCGUGCUUAACACAUGCAAGUCGAACGGAAAGGCCCUGCUUUUGUGGGGUGCUCGAGUGGCGAACGGGUGAGUAACACGUGAGUAACCUGCCCUUGACUUUGGGAUAACUUCAGGGAAACUGGGGCUAAUACCGGAUAGGAGCUCCUGCUGCAUGGUGGGGGUUGGAAAGUUUCGGCGGUUGGGGAUGGACUCGCGGCUUAUCAGCUUGUUGGUGGGGUAGUGGCUUACCAAGGCUUUGACGGGUAGCCGGCCUGAGAGGGUGACCGGCCACAAUGGGACUACGAUACGGCCCAGACUGCAACGGGAGGCAGCAGUGGGGAAUAUUACACAAUGGGCGGAAGCCUGAUGCGGCAACGCCGCGUGCGGGAUGACGGCCUUCGGGUUGUAAACCGCUUUCGCCUGUGACGAAGCGUGAGUGACGGUAAUGGGUAAAGAAGCACCGGCUAACUACGUG